GAUGAACGCUAGCGGCAGGCCUAAUACAUGCAAGCCGAACGGCAAGUCUUUUAGCAAUAGAAGACCUAGAGUGGCGUAAGGGUGCGUAACACGUAUGCAAUCUGCCCUCAACAGGAGGAUAGCUCCCCGAAAGGGGAAUUAAGCCUCCAUAGGAUCGUAAUGUGGCAUCACAUAGCGAUUAAACUACCAGGGGUUGAGGAUGAGCAUGCGCAUGAUUAGUUAGUUGGCGGGGUAACGGCCCACCAAGACGAUGAUCAUUAGGGGAACUGAGAGGUUGAUCCCCCACACUGGCACUGAGAUACGGGCCAGACUCCUACGGGAGGCAGCAGUAGGGAAUAUUGGACAAUGGUGGCAAGCCUGAUCCAGCCAUGCCGCGUGCAGGAAG
rnacentral:rRNA from 1 species